rnacentral:rRNA from 1 species
CCAAGGAGUGCAACAUGCGUGCGAGUCUGUGGGUGGCAGACCCGUCGGCGUAAUGAGAGUGAAGGCGGACGCCCGGUCCGCGAGGCAGGAGCCGUCCUCAGCGUUCGGCCCACUGUUGACCGAUCCCGUGCCACGCUGUGGUGGGAUUCGAGUGAGAGCGUGCCUGUUGCGACCCGAAAGAUGGUGAACUAUGCCUGAAUAGGGCGAAGCCAGAGGAAACUCUGGUGGAAGCUCGCAGCGGUUCUGACGUGCAAAUCGAUCGUCAAAUUUGGGUAUAGGGGCGAAAGACUAAUCGAACCAUCUAG